rnacentral:rRNA from 1 species
CACGUAGGGGGCGAGCGUUGUCCGGAGUUACUGGGCGUAAAGGGCAUGCAGGCGGUCCGACACGUUUUGUGUGACAGCGGGUGGCUUAACUACCCGAGGAUACGAAAGACGGUGGGACUUGAGGACUCGAGAGGGACACGGAAUUCCGGGUGGAGUGGUGAAAUGCGUAGAGAUCCGGAGAAACACCAAAGGCGAAGGCAGUGUCCUGGCGAGUGACUGACGCUGAGGUGCGAAAGCCAGGGGAGCGAACGGG